rnacentral:rRNA from 1 species
AACGAACGCUGGCGGCAUGCCUAACACAUGCAAGUCGAACGAGACCUUCGGGUCUAGUGGCGCACGGGUGCGUAACGCGUGGGAACCUGCCCUUAGGUUCGGAAUAACUCCCCGAAAGGGGUGCUAAUACCGGAUAAUGGCUUCGGACCAAAGAUUUAUCGCCUUUGGAUGGGCCCGCGUUGGAUUAGCUAGUUGGUAGGGUAAAAGCCUACCAAGGCGACGAUCCAUAGCUGGUCUGAGAGGAUGAUCAGCCACACUGGGACUGAGACACGGCCCAGACUCCUACGGGAGGCAGCAGUGGGGAAUAUUGGACAAUGGGCGAAAGCCUGAUCCAGCAAUGCCGCGUGAGUGAUGAAGGCCUUAGGGUUGUAAAGCUCUUUUACCCGGGAUGAUAAUGACAGUACCGGGAGAAUAAGCUCCGGCUAACUCCGUG